GAAGCCUUUUGCUAUCCCCAGGCGGAAACACCAAGCAGGCCAGCCUAGGACUCCCCUCAGAAGGGUCUCAGCAAAAGUCCAGCUCAGCUCCUGGCAAUGUGCGGCGUGAAGUCCGGAGGAACUGAACAGCCGGAGAGCUGGCUGCAAUGAACUUGACGGUUUUUUUGUUUGUUUGUUUGUUUCAAGGCCGACAAAUCGUAUCCAGGAAUCUGCCUUUGUCAUGGUCUGUCGGAAAUGGUCGGACUUUUAAAUUCUAUUUUGUUAUUGUUUGGAAUUUUUGUUGUCAGACAGGGUCUUUCUAUAUGCUCCAAGCUAACCUACAAUUCCCCGGUCUCAUUCCCUGAGUGUUUGUAUUUACAGAUGGCUUGCACUACAUCAGGAUGCAGAAGAUGUAGAAGAGCCUACCUAGACUUCUCAAGAAAGUUUCCUGAAAGCGAUAUUUUCCUUUGUCAUACUAGUUUCAAGGAUGCUGGUCUCAUCUCCCUACUGUGUGGCCUGUAAUCACCUCUAUCUACAGCACCACUCUCUAUGAGUCCCUUCUGUGUGCUGGACUUUGUCACCGUCUGGGUCACAGUGGUGAUUCCCAGCAGUGAAGGGGUGGGGUGUCUGGAGCCUUUGUAUAAACACAGUAGUCUGCUGGGAGCAUUGAUGAUUAUUGUUGAUGACGAGGAGAAAAAAA
rnacentral:lncRNA from 1 species